UACGGGGGGAGCAAGCGUUGUUCGGAUUUCCUGGGCGUAAAGGGCGCGUAGGCGGCCAGCACAAGUCAGUUGUGAAAUCUCCGAGCUUAACUCGGAACGGUCAACUGAUACUGUGCGGCUAGAGUGCAGAAGGGGCAACUGGAAUUCUUGGUGUAGCGGUGAAAUGCGUAGAUAUCAAGAGGAACACCUGAGGUGAAGACGGGUUGCUGGGCCGACACUGACGCUGAUGCGCGAAAGCCAGGGGAGCAAACGGG
rnacentral:rRNA from 1 species